rnacentral:rRNA from 1 species
AGCGAACGCUGGCGGCAGGCCUAACACAUGCAAGUCGAACGAAGCCUUCGGGCUUAGUGGCGGACGGGUGAGUAACACGUGGGAACGUACCUUUUGGUUCGGAAUAACGCAGAGAAAUUUGCGCUAAUACCGAAUGAGCCCUUCGGGGGAAAGAUUUAUCGCCGAAAGAUCGGCCCGCGUUGGAUUAGGUAGUUGGUGUGGUAAAGGCGAACCAAGCCUGCGAUCCAUAGCUGGUCUGAGAGGAUGAUCAGCCACACUGGGACUGAGACACGGCCCAGACUCCUACGGGAGGCAGCAGUGGGGAAUCUUGCGCAAUGGGCGAAAGCCUGACGCAGCCAUGCCGCGUGAAUGAUGAAGGUCUUAGGACUGUAAAAUUCUUUUACCAGGGACGAUAAUGACGGUACCUGGAGAAAAAGCCCCGGCUAACUUCGUGCCAGCCGCCGCGGUAACAC